GCGAAAGUGGCGGAACUGGCAGACGCGCUGGACUUAGAAUCCAGUGCCCUUACGGGUGUAGGGGUUCAAAUCCCCUCUUUCGCACCA
rnacentral:tRNA from 1 species